rnacentral:rRNA from 1 species
AUUGAACGCUGGCGGCAGGCCUAACACAUGCAAGUCGAGCGGCAGCGGGAGAAAGCUUGCUUUCUUGCCGGCGAGCGGCGGACGGGUGAGUAAGGUAUGGGGAUCUGGCCGAAGGCGGGGGAUAACCACUGGAAACGGUGGCUAAUACCGCAUAAUCUCUACGGAGCAAAGUGGGGGACCUUCUGGCCUCACACCUUCGGAUGAACCCAUAUGAGAUUAGCUAGUAGGUGGGGUAAAGGCUCACCUAGGCGACGAUCUCUAGCUGGUCUGAGAGGAUGAUCAGCCACACUGGGACUGAGACACGGCCCAGACUCCUACGGGAGGCAGCAGUGGGGAAUAUUGCACAAUGGGCGCAAGCCUGAUGCAGCCAUGCCGCGUGUAUGGAGAAGGCCUUCGGGUUGUAAAGUACUUUCAGUCGUGAGGAAGGUGUUAAGGUUAAUAGUCUUAGCAAUUGACGUUAGCGACAGAAGAAGCACCAGCUAACUCCGUGCCAGCAGCCGCGGUAA